AGGGUGCAAGCGUUAAUCGGAAUUACUGGGCGUAAAGCGCACGCAGGCGGUUUGUUAAGUCAGAUGUGAAAUCCCCGGGCUCAACCUGGGAACUGCAUUUGAAACUGGCAAGCUAGAGUCUCGUAGAGGGGGGUAGAAUUCCAGGUGUAGCGGUGAAAUGCGUAGAGAUCUGGAGGAAUACCGGUGGCGAAGGCGGCCCCCUGGACGAAGACUGACGCUCAGGUGCGAAAGCGUGGGGAGCAAACAGGAUUAGAUACCCUGGUAGUCCACGCUGUAAACGAUGUCGAUUUGGAGGUUGUGCCCUUGAGGCGUGGCUUCCGGAGCUAACGCGUUAAAUCGACCGCCUGGGGAGUACGGCCGCAAGGUUAAAACUCAAAUGAAUUGACGGGGGCCCGCACAAGCGGUGGAGCAUGUGGUUUAAUUCGAUGCAACGCGAAGAACCUUACCUACUCUUGACAUCCAGA
rnacentral:rRNA from 1 species